rnacentral:rRNA from 1 species
GGUUGCGAUCAUACCAGCACUAAUGCACCGGAUCCCAUUAGAACUCCGCAGUUAAGCGUGAUUGGGCGAGAGUAGUACUAGGAUGGGUGACCCCCUGGGAAGUCCUCGUGUUGCAACCCC